rnacentral:rRNA from 1 species
ACAGCAGCAGCCACGGGAACACGAAGGGUGCAAGCGUUACUCGGAAUUACUGGGCGUAAAGCGUGCGUAGGUGGUGGUUUAAGUCCGUUGUGAAAGCCCUGGGCUCAACCUGGGAAUUGCAGUGGAUACUGGGUCACUAGAGUGUGGUAGAGGAUAGUGGAAUUUCCGGUGUAGCAGUGAAAUGCGUAGAGAUCGGAAGGAACAUCUGUGGCGAAGGCGACUAUCUGGGCCAACACUGACACUGAGGCACGAAAGCGUGGGGAGCAAACAGGAUUAGAUACCCCUGUAGUCCCUGUCUCUUAUAU